CACUGAGCCAGUCUUGGUGGCGGGAACAGGCUGAGUUCCAGGAGUGGGGCAAAUGUAAUAAAGUUUGUAAGGUUGCAAGGAGCCACAAGAGACAAUAAUGGCACAACAAGGAGCAAUCUUUCUCUUGAAAGGUCUUUUCGUUUCACAGAUGGGGAAGCAGCAGAAUCUCGGAGAAACAAUGAACCGAGAAUCAGAAAACCUGGGCCACCACUGACUUACAGUGUGAUCUCGGGAGAACCUUCACCUCUUGGAGCCUCGGAUGACAAUUUGCGCCUAAGCUCGAUUAGAGGAUCGACGAGGUGAGGGACGUGAAGCGCUUUAACAUUAGACAAAUGGGAGGUGCCAAUAUGAUCGUGCCUGCUUCGUGUGCUUUUCUAAGGCGAGUUGAUUUUUUUAUUAUUCUCCAUUCCCAGAUGUGGAAAUCAGGGCACAGAGGUACGAAGGAAUGUGGGUCCCGUUCCUUAGUGCCAGGACCAAGAGAAGGGGUCUCCCUGCAUUGGGAGGGCUCUAGUGCCUCCUCAUGGCCCGGCACUUCCUCUCCUUCUGAGACUGACAGGGUUCCACACCUGUCUGGGACAGUGCACCAGACUGGGGAGAUUUCCUUCUGUUCAGCUGCGUGAGACGCACGUAUCCUGGCAGGACAUCAGGCAGAUGGCCACUUUCACGUCAACUCGGGAGCCCUGGCACCUACCUCUCUUCUCCGCACACUCCCACUGUCCACCUUCCCCCAGUUGUUGGGAUGGUCUCUGCUAUUGGCCAAAGGCUGCACCCACCAGUGCUACCUCAGAUCAGGAAGUAAUCUGUGGCCUCUGUCUGGUUCUCUGCCUCAAGGCAGGUCCCACCAUCAUCUACACUUUCUAACAGUCCCCAAAGCCUUCUCUCUUCUGCUUCUCCACCAACUUGGCCUCUUCUGCGAAGUUCUCUAACUAUGGGUUUCCCCAACACCCCCACCCCCCGCCCGCAGGCUCCCCCUCACCAUCAUCUUCAUUUCAGAAAAUGAAAUAAAAAAGAAAUUCGAGUGACUCAUCAGUCCACAUGGCAGGAGGGGAAGAAGCAGAGAGAGUGAGUCUGUGGGCCCAGACAAGGAUGUCUGCAGGCCUCUUGCCUGCUUCCCGUGGUCUGCUGAGCUUCACGAGAGGGAAGAUCGAAAAAUCUGGGCGAUGCCAUAUUGUCUCCAAGAGCAGCUAGAGUGAAAAUGAAGUGUGACUGCCACCUCCCCAAAAUGCAGGGCAGCUCCUGCUUCACGGGCUCAAACGUGGCUCGGCGGCUGGCUGCGCAGCCUCAGGACAGAUGCUGCCGUGGCGGUCAGCAUCACCGAGCCUCAGCUACCAUCCUGGCCCAGGGUUCCCCCAGGCCUCAACGCCACCCUCCCUGAUGCCUGAUGCCCACUCCAUAUCAGGCCCCCUGGGGACCCUGAGCAGGGAGCCACCAGGGGGUGCCUGCUUGGGAACCCACCAUCAGCCUGGGGUUUGGCAAGCCCCGAAUUCUACGCCUGCCGGCUGGCUGGAAACCUGCUAGACGGGGCAUCAUACCAGGCAGAGCGUGCUCCAUGGGGAAGAGCCAGAGCGGGUGGGACUCAGCCUCUCCAUCAACAAGAGGGGCUCUGCUCUAAUCCGCUUUACAUAUGGGCAUCUGCCUGAGAUUUCACUGGGGGAAAAAAUAACAACGAGAGUCUACUGCAAUUACAAACCAAAGAAAGCAAACAACCUUAAAAGCCCCAUCAGUCUAGCCCAGUGUUCCUCAAACACGAACAUGCCUCAGCUCUCCUGGAGGGCUAGAUAAAACACAGAUGGCUGGGCCCCUGCCCAAAGUCGCUGAUUCAGCAUUUCAGGGUGAGGCUGAGAGUCUGUAUUUCUAACAAGCUCCUGGGGGACUCCAGCGCUGCUUUUCUGGGGACAAACUUGAAGAACCAUGGAUCUAGCCCAAAUUUUCCCUUCAGAGCCAGGAUAGGGGAUUCCUCCAAGCUUCCUUAGCAAGUUAGAGGUGAACUAGCAUAGAGCCCACUCUCCCACAGGCCCCCCCUGCCUUGUCCAGGCCUUGCGCUUCACAUCCUGCAUCUGCUCCAGCAUGACAGGGCCCUGGACACAGAAGGCCAGUCUGACCUGGGCUCUCGGGGUGCUUUAUCCCUGGGACAACGAUCAAAGGGGACCAUUCCUAACCCAGAGCCCAUGCUCAGAAGGCCUGUGUCCCCCAUUCGGGGAAGUUGCAUUAUAUCCCCAGGUCAUCAGGAUGCUUCUCUGUACUUCACUUAUUCAGGCCUUCAUUCAUUAUUGAGCUUUCCAUGAUCUCAUUCCUUUGUUCUUUCUCUCAACACAUCCUGAUUGAGACUUUCUAGGUGCUGGGUGCUGUCCUAGAUCCUGAGAUACAGAGACUUCUGAACCUGAGAGAUGGGUUCCUCCCUGAUCUCAAGGACUUUGCAGUCAGAGUGAAAAAAUAAGUCCAAUCAAGUUAGUACAUUGUGAAGGGGAAAGAAGGGGGUGUGUUGAAAGGUGAAUGAAGGAGAGGAGUGGGGAGGGUUUCAUCAGGCGGGCAGGAUGAUGUUAACAGACAAGAGAGAUGGGCAUGGGGUAGGGAAGACAUAUUCAGUGUAAGGAUUAAACAAUGAGAAGUAUUUACUGAGUGUUUGAUCGCUGUACAUCGAUUGCUUUCCAUACUUCUUUUAUCCUCACAACCAUCCCUACAGGAGAUGCCAUUAUUAAAUCCUCAUUUACAGACGAGGAACCUGAAGCUCAGAGAGGUUAUGCAACUUCCCCAAGGCCACACAGCUACUCAGACUCAGGUUUUCUGACCCCAGAACCUGAUCUCUUAACUACUGUAUCAUCUCACCACUCUCAGCAAGGGAAAGAGACAGCUUGCUCCUGUCUGGAGGGAAGCAAGGAGUAGGUUUCCUGAAGCACUGGACAGGUGUGGGGAGUAGAUGGAAUGCAGAGGGAGAGGUAAGCUGGGGCUUUGUUUAUUGAGGGGCUUGACUGCCAGGGAGAGGAAUUUGAAUGCAACUCAGGAGGCUGUGAGGCCACUGAAGGAUUUUGAGCCGGAGCGGGGUACACGGCAAAACUGUGUUCAGGAAAAUUGCUCUGAUAGCAGCGGGCAGAUUGGGUUGGAGAAGGGAGAUAACUGGUGACCAGAGUCUACUGCAGAAUCUCAGAAGCGAAAAAAAUGAGGCCUGGCUUGGGGAGGGUGGCAGACAUGGAGGGACACUCAACAGCAGAUGCUCUUCUUACCACUGUUAUUACAAAUAUUUUUUGACUGCUGACCACAGGUUUUACCUCUAUUAACUCAUUUAAUCCUAAUAGCAGCAUCUGAUCUCUGCCCUUCUGAUAUUUCUUGACCCUCCUUUAUCUACACGCCUGGUAGUUUUCCUAUUAGGGGAUCAGGGCUUGAGAUUUCUUCCUUGAAGACGAAUCAUGGGCUGAGACAACUCAGGAUCAAGAAGUUAUGAUCAGUUUCAGAACUAUUUAUUCGCCUCAUCUUACAGGCUAGGCUGGAGGCCCUGAAGCUGUGGUGGGUGCCAGAUGGCAUCUCAGUCACCAGGAAGGAGGACACCCGAGGACCCUGUGGUCAGCCCCAGGCUGGCAGCCCAUCCCCACAUCACCACUGUGGGCACGGGGCAGAGGCAAGGUGUGAGCUUGGGUAUGACGUCACCUGAACUGGAUGAGCCUGACUCCUCUCACGUGUUCAUGGCUACAUUGGAGAGUGACCAGUGAGCUAAUGCACGGAAGAAAAAAUAAUAAUAAAGCCUUUUGCAAAUCUAGAGGCGUUUACACACGUGUCUUAGUCCGUUCAGGCUGCUACAAUGAAAUACCACAGACUGAGUGGCUAAUAAAGAACGGAAACUUAUUUCUCACAGUUCUGGCGAGUGGGAAGUCGAAGGUCAAGGUACCGCCAGCACGCUGGCGUUCUGGUGAUGGCCCACUUCCUGGUUCACAGCUGGUACCUUCUCACCUUGUCCUCAGAUGGAGGAAGACACAAGAGAGCUCUCUGGAGCCCCUUUCAUAAGGCACUAAUCCCAUUCCUGAGAGCUUCUCCUUCGCGACUUAAUCACUUCCCAAAGGCCCUACUUCCUAAAAUCACCUUGGGGGUUAGGAUUUCAACCUAUGAAUUUUGGUACUAUUAUCAUUGUGAAUGCUAAUAUUAACAUCAUUAAACAUUCUCCAAGCAAACAUGGUGGUAAAAUGUUAACAUCUCUCUGCGAAGGGUGUGUUUGAACCCUUUGUGCUAUUUUUGCAACUCUUCUGUAAACUUAAG